UGACAGGUCGCCCUCCUUUUAAAGACACAGAGUGCUUUUAACUACCAAAGGAGUUAGCAAAAUCCGGAGAGCCGGUCCGGGUUUGCAAAGGCAGAAGGACUUUUAACUAAAACUGCAAACUAAAGUCGUCUGAAAGGUUAGAUGGCCCUCAUUAAUUAAUCAACGAGUUCACAUACGUAUAUUUGUCUCAAGAUCAGAAGACAUGCUCUUAGGAAAUACGUAUCCAGUGACAGUAAGUUACUUUCCUCCUGCCGUCUAGCUACAAAUACUAUUUUACCUCUUUGUAACUCAUGAAUCAGACAGGCGUCCAGGUAAUAUCUGUUGAAUUAAUGAACGUUUGAGAUGGUUGAACAUGGCUCUGGAGAUGUAGGGCUGUGUAGAAGACACAACACUGAACCAGGCGUAUGUGAAUCACCCCGUGGACAAGCUCAUUAUUACUGGACAUCAAACAGGAAAUAUUAUUUAAGGAGCAGAGCCCUGCCUCCCACCUGCCAGGGCACCUUUGGGGAAGAAGCUUUUGAAGUCUGGGAACUGGAGAAUGCAGAGGUGGUACUGGUUUUGAAGGCAUGAAGGGGUCAUGAAGAACAGCUGAGGCCUGGCAUUGUGAGAGGCCAUGGAAGACCAUUGGUGGAGGUGCAGGCUCAGUUGCAGUUGAUGACCGAGGGCUGAAGGGGUCAUGCAAAGGAUUUGAAACUUGGUACCAUGAAGAGAACCUAUCUGAGGCUAUUUGUGAAGCCUAGUUGCAGCGGAAGACCUCAGUGUAUUGGAGAUGCCAGUGCCAUGGGAUGACCACCAAGAACAGCAGAAGCAGUAGAGUGGAUCAGAGCUAUAGAGGGCAGAGCUGGAGAAGUGACCCCAGCCCCUUUGGAGGAGCCCAGAGGAUCAUGUGUGGAUCCCAGACAUUGGAACAAGAAGCUGUAACACUGAAGUUUCCUUGGAGAUCCCAAGUUGUUCGAGAUGCCAGAGCCAUGGACACUCUGCUGUAGAAAGCUGCUUAACAGGACGUGGAACCCACCCAGGAGAAAGAAGUUUGUUGCAGUCAACAAAUAUAAAAAGGAGUUAAAGAUCUGAAGACUGCUUUGACAUCAUCCAUGGAGAUGCAGAGUUUGGAGUUUUCCCAACUGGUUUCUUGCCUUGCUUUAGGGAUUACGGUUAGGUGACUGGAUGGAUCUAAGAAGAGACUUUGAACUUUGGACUUUUAACAUUGCUGAGACUUCUAUAGACUAUGGGGACUUCGGAAGUGGGACUAAUAUAUUUUGCAUUAUGCUGUGUUUAGGUGUGACCCUCAUAGACUCAUAUGUUUGAACCAGCCUAUGACUCAACUUUGACUCCAAAAUUGGCUCUCUCUUCCUCCCUUUGAGGUGGGAGUUGUGUUUUUUGCGUGAAUCUACUCAGCAUCCAUCAAAACCCAGUUUCUCAGUCACUGGGCUGAGAGAGCAUCAAGCUGGACUCUUGCUUCCCCGCUCUUUGGGCAUUGAAUCAAGCUUUUCACUUCUUUACUACAUUUUGGGAACUGACCUCAAAAACCUGCCCAGAGGGUGUGGCAUUUCCCUUGUUUGGGACACUAAUGGAUCAAGAACAUACCAAGAAGAACUUGUUUCUGUUUUUAAA